UACGUAGGGCGCAAGCGUUGUCCGGAAUUAUUGGGCGUAAAGAGCUCGUAGGCGGCUUGUCACGUCUGCUGUGAAAUCCCGGGGCUCAACCCCGGGCGUGCAGUGGAUACGGGCUGGCUAGAGGCAGGCAGGGGAGAACGGAAUUCCCGGUGUAGCGGUGAAAUGCGCAGAUAUCAGGAGGAACACCGGUGGCGAAGGCGGGUCUCUGGGCAGUAACUGACGCUGAGGAGCGAAAGCGUGGGGAGCGAACAGG
rnacentral:rRNA from 1 species